GUGAGAAAGCUUUACAAAAACACCGAGGGAUUUAAUGAUGUCUAUGUUACUAACAUGACGGCUGGGUCUCUGGUGGCCCAUCUCAUUGCGGUUUUUGAGAGGAACACAAGCACCCUGCUCUCUGUCACUGAGGUUCUGAAAUUGGGUCUGGCCCAGUUGGAGAUGGAUGGGCUCACUGUGGACCCUGCAACACUGGGCAUUGUGCCCCCUUCCUCCAUUCCUCC